rnacentral:misc_RNA from 1 species
AAGUCGUAACAAGGUCUCCGUAGGUGAACCUGCGGAGGGAUCAUUAACACGUUUAACAACGUACCCACCAAACCAAUGGAAACCGCCUGAUGCAGUAACAUGUAUAAGGCAGUUCUCUCCCUCUAUCUGCACUUGCUACUUGUAUACUUGUAUACUUGUAGCAUAGUUGUGUAUGGAGGCUCUACCCUUUCUCUGACCCCUUUCCAACUUCAAUCCAAUGUCAAUUGAUUCCUCAAUUGUUGUUGUAUUGUUCUGUUCUGACCUGUAUUCUAUGUUGCAUGGUGUGAGCUUGGCUUUGUUGCCUUGCUUUUCCUGCAUGUAGUUGAUAUUUAAUGCAAAGCACAACUCUUAGCAACGGAUAUCUUGGUUCUC